UAAGAUUGUGACAGACAUGAG
rnacentral:piRNA from 1 species